ACCUGGGUGGCUCAGUCAGUUAAGCAUCAGACUUCAGCUCAGGUCAUGAUCUUGUGGUCAGUGGGUUCGAGCCCCACUUCAGGCU
rnacentral:tRNA from 1 species